UACGUAGGGGGCAAGCGUUGUCCGGAAUCAUUGGGCGUAAAGCGCGUGUAGGCGGCUCGAUAAGUCUGCUGUGAAAGUCCAGGGCUCAACCCUGGGAUGCCGGUGGAUACUGUCGAGCUCGAGUCCUGAAGAGGAGUGUGGAAUUCCUGGUGUAGCGGUGAAAUGCGCAGAUAUCAGGAGGAACACCAAUGGCGAAGGCAGCACUCUGGGACGUGACUGACGCUGAGACGCGAAAGCGUGGGGAGCAAACAGG
rnacentral:rRNA from 1 species